rnacentral:rRNA from 1 species
CCCUUAGAUGCUCUGGGCCGCACGCGCGCUACACUGGUCGAUGCAACGAGUUUCUUUCCUUGGCCGACAGGCCUGGGCAAUCUUUGAACAUCGAUCGUGAUCGGGAUAGAUUCUUGUAAUUUUUGAUCUUAAACGAGGAAUUCCUAGUAAACGCAAGUCAUCAGCUUGCAUUGAUUACGUCCCUGCCCUUUGUACACACCGCCCGUCGCACCUACCGAUUGAAUGGUCCGGUGAAAUCUCCGGACUGGCGUGAGUCGGAGCAAUCUGACAAACGCCGGAAAGUUGAUUAAACCUUAUCAUUUAGAGGAAGGUGAAGUCGUAACA